GUGGUAUACACAUUUAAUUAUUAUUAUUAUUAAUAAAUUGUAAUCAAUAUGCAGAUGACACACUACUCUGUUCCAUCUGAAUCCGGGAGAUGCAGUUCAGGUGUUAGACUGUGGCAGUGAUGGUCUGGGCGUGGGCCAAUAAACAAGCUGAAUCCUGAAGACAGAGAUGUGCCCCAAGUUCUCAUGACUAGAAGGUUAAGCAUGCAUUGGAUUUGGUGGUCAUUCUGGCAUUACAGCAGCCUAUCUUCAGAUCUGGCACAAUAUUUCCAAAGUAAACAAGAUUUACGCACCCAUUUUCCCAUGCUUGGAUAGUCAUGUUCUGGAUCAAAAAGAUGCUGGUGAAGUUGGUAUUCUU